UUCAGUAAAAAAUGACAGCACUUUUUGUACAUAGUCCCCCAUUUUAGGGGACCAAAAGUAUUGGGACAAUUUCAUGUGUAUUAAAGUAGUCAAAAUGUAACAUUUGGUCCCAUGUUCCUAGUGCGCAAUGAUUACAUUAAGGUUGUGACUACACAAACUUGUUGGAUGCAUUUGCUGUUUGUUUUGGUUGUGUUUCAGAUUAUUUUGUGCCCGAUAGAAAUGGAUUUAAUUUUGGAGUCACUUUUUUUGUAAAUAUGAAUAGAAUUUGUUUCUAAACACCUCUACAUUAAUGUGGAUGCUACCAUGGUUAUGGAUAGUCCUGAAUGGAUCGUGAAUAAUGAUGAGUGAGAAUGUAUGUUACACAUGAUGAAAAAAACGUUUCUUAACAGGAAAUGACUGGCGCCCUUAGUUCUACCAUGGUUUCUGGAGACAACGUUUUCCAGUAAACUGACUACUCUAGGUCAUCAUUAUUUGAAAUCUUAUUAAGCAUUCAGAGAAACACAACUGUUUCGACUGAAAGGACACCAGUCAUAGUUCAUGGAACUGAAAGAUUCACUUCCAAUUAAUAGGGAAACUUGACAGAGAGCUUUAUCUUACAAUUAACACAUUAACAUUUGAGUGACAGAUCUAUAUUGAAGAUAUUGAUAUAUAUAGUUAGUUUGCAGAGACAUUCUGACAUGGAUAGUAUGAUGAAGCCUGGAGUCAACAACUCAGCAGCAUCACUACUUUUCAUCAUUUCCAUCACCAACCCCCUUCCCUUCUCCAUCACCAACCCCCUGCCCUUUUCCAGUGCAAAUUCCCAAGCCCUACAACCCCCAGCCCCCAUCUCGUAGACCAACACCAGGUAUAAAUAAAUCAUUUUCUUCCCAUAGAAAGAAUCAUACAUAAAGAACAUGUUAGCUUAGUGUCAAAACGUUUCACUAGUUUAUAUUCACUCAGCCUAGUUCACAUUAAGGCUUCACUCAGCCUAAUUCACAUUAAGGCUUCACUCAGCCUAGUUCACAUUAAGGCAAGUCUUUGCUCUAGAGGCACAGCAGGUGCAGCCGAUCCAGGGAACAUGUAACACUUUGUGUAAAGAGUGACAGUUGACGAGUCUUCCACACACACACACACACAUACAUACGCGCACACACACACACACACACACACACACACACACACACACACACACACACACACACACACACACACACACACACACACACACACCUUAUCAUACAGAUCAUUGAGUGCAUGGGGACACAACAGAUGGUGACUAGCUCUCUGUUUGACUAUACAGUGAAACUACCUCUGUUUCCUCCAGACCAGAGGAUGUUGUGAAGACCUGUUCAUCUCACUAAUAUGUGACAGGUCUGUCCUAAAAGGUAGUAAGUAGUGUGUGAUUGGACAUUGCAAACUUUUUUUUUGCAUAACCUACUAAUAGAACAUUACAGAUGAUGUUCAAAAUUGAAUAAAGAAUAUUAUACCUUGAGACAAUAAUUAUUGUGGCAGUUUAUGCAUUCCCUUAGCUAAGCAGGAUGAAGUACUACUAACAUUGCCUGAUUAUUGGCUUCCAACAGGUUAUGCAAUUCAACUAUCACUUAAUUUGUAAUGCAGGCUGAAACAGAAAAAUAUAAAAUACAUGGUAAUUUCAGGGCUGGUAGGAUUCU
rnacentral:lncRNA from 13 species